GUGUCAGCCGCCGCGGUAAUACGGAGGGUGCAAGCGUUGUUCGGAAUUACUGGGCUUAAAGCGCGUGUAGGCGGAGUAUCAGGUGUCUUGUGAAAGCCCCGGGCUCAACCCGGGAACUGCUGGGCAAACCGGUACUCUUGAGGCAAGUAGAGGUGAGUGGAACAACUGGUGGAGCGGUGAAAUGCGUAGAUAUCAGUUGGAACGCCGGAGGCGAAAGCGGCUCACUGGGCUUGUUCUGACGCUGAGACGCGAAAGCGUGGGUAGCAAACAGGAUUAGAUACCCUGGUAGUCCACGCCGUAAACGAUGCGCACUAGGUUUGAGAGGUUCUGACGCCGAUCGUGCCGAAGCAAAAGUGCUAAGUGCGCCGCCUGGGGAGUACGGCCGCAAGGCUAAAACUCAAAGGAAUUGACGGGGGCUCACACAAGCGGUGGAGCAUGUGGAUUAAUUCGAAGCAACGCGAAGAACCUUACCUGGGUUUGACAUGUACGGAUGCUCUCUUGGAAACAGGAGUAGGUUGCCUUCGGGUGAAACGUACACAGGUGCUGCAUGGCUGUCGUCAGCUCGUGCUGUGAAGUGUCGGGUUAAGUCCCUUAACGAGCGAAACCCCUAUCGUUAGUUGCCAGCGGGUCAUGCCGGGGACUCUAGCGAGACCGCCGGUGUCAAACCGGAGGAAGGUGGGGACGACGUCAAGUCAUCAUGGCCUUUAUGCCCAGGGUGUCACACGUGCUACAAUGGUCGGUACAGAGCGAAGCGAUAUCGCGAGGUGGAGCAAAUCGCACAAAGCCGGCCUCAGUUCGGAUUGGAGUCUGCAACUCGACUCCAUGAAGUUGGAAUCGCUAGUAAUCGCGGAUCAGCCAUGCCGCGGUGAAUGUGUUCCUGAGCCUUGCACACACCGCCCGUC
rnacentral:rRNA from 1 species